rfam:Gossypium hirsutum cultivar TM-1 chromosome 10, whole genome shotgun sequence
UAUUAAAAAUUUUGUCUAUUUGUAUUAUUAAAAGCGAGCGUAAUUAACAAAAUAACCAUACAGUGACACGUGUACCUUAUGUUGAUAUACAAUAACUAAUUUUUAACAGUAAAAAUAGAUGAAAUUUUUGACA